rnacentral:rRNA from 1 species
UACGGAGGAUUCAAGCGUUAUCCGGAUUUAUUGGGUUUAAAGGGUGCGUAGGCGGAAUAUCAAGUCAGCGGUAAAAAUUCGGGGCUCAACCCCGUCGUGCCGUUGAAACUGAUGUUCUUGAGUGGGCGAGAAGUAUGCGGAAUGCGUGGUGUAGCGGUGAAAUGCAUAGAUAUCACGCAGAACUCCGAUUGCGAAGGCAGCGUGCCGUGCCGCCACUGACGCUGAGGCACGAAAGCGCGGGGAUCGAACAGG